GGCCCUUUUNUGGNAUGGGCGCACGUUUGGUAAAUNCANNCNACACACCACCNNUGCNCUUUUNCAUGGGAGNGACAGNACGAGGAGNUNACUGCCUUCCCUCGGUNUCUCNAUGGUAUUAUAACCACAAACAUCAGUAUUAGAAUGUACUCUUGNGAUAAUCGCAUUGAAAUACAACUUUCAGCAACGGAUCUCUUGGCUCUCGCAUCGAUGAAGAACGCAGCGAAAUGCGAUAAGUAAUGUGAAUUGCAGAAUUCAGUGAAUCAUCGAAUCUUUGAACGCNCCUUGCGCUCCUUGGUAUUCCGAGGAGCAUGCCUGUUUGAGUGUCAUGUAUCUCUCAAUCUUCUCAGUUUUUCUGAGAGNGAUUGGAAUUGGGAAGCUGCCGUUGUAAAAUGGCUCUUCUCAAAAGCAUUAGUGUGAAUGUUACCGAAUGUUCUCCAGUGUAAUAAUCAUUUGCGCUGCAAGAGCUUCAGUAGAAUUAAGUUCAUGCUUCCAACCGUCUGUCUCAGACAAUACACUUUGCGUUUGACCUCAAAUCAGGUAGGAUUACCCGCUGAACUUAAGCA
rnacentral:rRNA from 1 species